UACGUAGGUGGCAAGCGUUGUCCGGAUUUAUUGGGUUUAAAGGGUGCGUAGGCGGCCCUGUAAGUCAGUGGUGAAAUACUCUAGCUUAACUAGAGGGGUGCCAAUGAUACUGCAGGGCUUGAGUACAGAUGAGGUAGGCGGAAUUGACGGUGUAGCGGUGAAAUGCAUAGAUAUCGUCAAGAACACCUAUAGCGAAGGCAGCUUACUGGGCUGUAACUGACGCUGAGGCACGAAAAGUGGUGGGGGAUCGAAAACAGG
rnacentral:rRNA from 1 species